rnacentral:rRNA from 1 species
AACUUCUUUAUCACCGAGUGCUUGCACUCACCGAUAAAGAGUUGGGUGGCGAACGGGUGAGUAACACGUGGGCAACCUGCCCAAAAGAGGGGGAUAACACUUGGAAACAGGUGCUAAUACCGCAUAACCAUAGUUACCGCAUGGUAACUAUGUAAAAGGUGGCUAUGCUACCGCUUUUGGAUGGGCCCGCGGCGCAUUAGCUAGUUGGUGGGGUAAAGGCUUACCAAGGCAAUGAUGCGUAGCCGAACUGAGAGGUUGAUCGGCCACAUUGGGACUGAGACACGGCCCAAACUCCUACGGGAGGCAGCAGUAGGGAAUCUUCCACAAUGGGCGAAAGCCUGAUGGAGCAACGCCGCGUGGGUGAAGAAGGUCUUCGGAUCGUAAAACCCUGUUGUUAGAGAAGAAAGUGCGUGAGAGUAACUGUUCACGUUUCGACGGUAUCUAACCAGAAAGCCACGGCUAACUACGUGCCAGCAGCCGCGGUAAUACGUAGGUGGCAAGCGUUAUCCGGAUUUAUUGGGCGUAAAGGGAACGCAGGCGGUCUUUUAAGUCUGAUGUGAAAGCCUUCGGCUUAACCGGAGUAGUGCAUUGGAAACUGGGAGACUUGAGUGCAGAAGAGGAGAGUGGAACUCCAUGUGUAGCGGUGAAAUGCGUAGAUAUAUGGAAGAACACCAGUGGCGAAAGCGGCUCUCUGGUCUGUAACUGACGCUGAGGUUCGAAAGCGUGGGUAGCAAACAGGAUUAGAUACCCUGGUAGUCCACGCCGUAAACGAUGAAUGCUAAGUGUUGGAAGGUUUCCGCCCUUC